CCUACGGGAGGCAGCAGUGGGGAAUAUUGCACACUGGAGGGAACUCUGAUGCAGCAACGCCGCGUGAGUGAUGAAGGAUUUCGUUAUGUAAAGCUCUAUCAUCAGGGACGAAAAUGACGGUACCUGCCUAAGAAGCCCCGGCUAACUACGUGCCAGCAGCCGCGGUGAUACGUAGUAGGCAAGCGUUAUCCGGAUUUACUAGGUGGAAAGGGAGCGUAGGCGGGAGGGCAAGUCUGAUGUGAAAACCCUGAGCUCAACCACGGGACUGCAUUAGAAACUGCAGAACUAGAGUGACGGAGAGGCAAGUGGAAUUCCCAGUGGAGCGGUGAAAUGCGUAGAUAUGAGGAGGAACACCAGUGGCGAAGGCGGCUUGCUGGACAAUAACGGACGUUGAGGCUCGAAAGCGUGGGGAGCAAACAGGAUUAGAUACCCGGGUAGUC
rnacentral:rRNA from 1 species